GUCUCUGUGGUGCAGUCGGUUAGCGUGUUCGGCUGUUAACUGAAAGGUUGGUGGCUCGAGCCCACCCAGGGAUG
rnacentral:tRNA from 1 species